rnacentral:rRNA from 1 species
AACGAACGCUGGCGGCAGGCUUAACACAUGCAAGUCGAACGCCCCCUUCGGGGGGAGUGGCAGACGGGUGAGUAACGCGUGGGAACCUUCCCUGUGGUACGGAAUAGCUCCGGGAAACUGGAAUUAAUACCGUAUACGCCCUUCGGGGGAAAGAUUUAUCGCCAUAGGAUGGGCCCGCGUCGGAUUAGCUAGUUGGUGAGGUAACGGCUCACCAAGGCUACGAUCCGUAGCUGGUCUUAGAGGAUGAUCAGCCACACUGGGACUGAGACACGGCCCAGACUCCUACGGGAGGCAGCAGUGGGGAAUAUUGGACAAUGGGCGCAAGCCUGAUCCAGCCAUGCCGCGUGAGUGACGAAGGCCUUAGGGUUGUAAAACUCUUUUGGCGGGGACGAUAAUGACGGUACCCGCAGAAUAAGCCCCGGCUAACUUCGUGCCAGCAGCCGCGGUAAUACGAAGGGGGCUAGCGUUGUUCGGAAUCACUGGGCGUAAAGCGCACGUAGGCGGACUGGUCAGUUGGGGGUGAAAUCCCGGGGCUCAACCUCGGAACUGCCUUCAAUACAGCCAGUC